AUGGCGGCAAAGAAAUAUCUCUUUCGCUUUGGGUCUUUCGCAAUAAAGGAUGGGUCAGAGGUUCGUUUCUGGGAAGACAUCUGGCUAGGCAAUGCCAGUCUCCGAGGACAAUAUCCAACCUUAUAAAUCAUUGCUUGUGAGAAGAAUAAUACUCUUGCGCAGGUGUUGAGUUCAUCCCCGCCGAAUAUGUCAUUCAGACGGGAUUUGAUUGGGCCCCGACUUACGUCAUGGCAUAAUCUAUUGUCCAGGAUGGAUUCGAUUAACCUGACACAAGGCCGGGAUUUGUUUUGCUGGAACCUUACUACAUCAGGGUCUUUCACAGUA
rnacentral:rRNA from 1 species